rnacentral:rRNA from 3 species
CAAAUGACUCUCAGCAACGGAUAUCUUGGCUCUUGCAAC